rnacentral:rRNA from 1 species
UUCGAACCACCUAACGAGGAACGAUCGGAGGGCAAGGUCUGGUGCCAGCAGCCGCGGUAAUUCCAGCUCCAAUAGCGUACGUUAAAGUUGCUGCAGUUAAAAAGCUCGUAGUUGAACGUCGGGUUCCGCGGGACGGGGCCGCCCCGCGAGGGACGGCGCCGCCCCCGGGGGCUCGUGAUAUCUUAUCUCGCCGCCCGUCGCGAGGCGGACGGAGGGGAUGGAUGAGGUUACCUGGAAAAAAUCGGGGCGAUCUAGGCGGGCGAACCUCGCCAACGAACGAUCGGACAUGGGAUAACGGAAGAGGGGCGUCGGCUCGACUUCGUCGGUUCCUCGGGGCCGAGGCACGUACGGUGAAUAGGGACGGUCGGGGCCGCCCGUACCGGGUCGUGAGAGGUGAAAUUCUAGGAUCGACCCGAGACGAACUGCCGCGAAAGCAUUCGGCAAGGACGCUUUCAUUAAUCAAGAACGAAAGUCGGGGGAUCGAAGACGAUCAGAUACCGUCGUAGUCCCGACCGUAAACGAUGCCGACCGAGGGCCCGGAGGAGUUACGUACGACCCUCCGGGCCCUCCCGCGAGAAAUCAGGAGUAUUCGGGUUCCGGG